rnacentral:rRNA from 1 species
UACGUAGGGUGCAAGCGUUGUCCGGAAUUAUUGGGCGUAAAGAGCUCGUAGGCGGUCUGUCGCGUCUGCUGUGAAAACCUAGGGCUUAACUCUGGGCGUGCAGUGGGUACGGGCAGGCUAGAGUGCGGUAGGGGAGAUUGGAAUUCCUGGUGUAGCGGUGAAAUGCGCAGAUAUCAGGAGGAACACCGAUGGCGAAGGCAGGUCUCUGGGCAUUAACUGACGCUGAGGAGCGAAAGCAUGGGGAGCGAACAGG